rnacentral:lncRNA from 10 species
AAAAGCUUUUGAAUGGCUUUCUAAAUGAUUUUCUCUACUUGGGAAGUUAAACUGACUAAUGAUUGUGUGUCUGUUUCUGAUGUUCAUUAAUCACAGGUAAAUUAGUAGACACCUCAGGUUCUGUUUAAUUAAUAAAUCAUCUCUGCAAUUGUGCAUCUUGAACUUCAAAAUAGCACUUGUUGAAUCUGGGGAAGCAUUCAAGAUUCCUCUGUAAAUGAAUCUUACUUUUUGUUUAAUGCUUAAUUUAAAAUACUUUUUGAUAUGUAAAAAACUUGUCAUGAAGAUGUUAACCAAAUUUAUUUGUGGAAAGCUAUUAUGUGAAAAUAAUUGAUUAUGGACAUUAACCAAUUGUAUGACAUCAGCUAUGACAUGUAUUUUGAGGGCCGUUGACCUCGAUUUUUGUUCUUGAGAUUUUUUGUGUGUGUGUGUGUGACGAAGUUUUGCUCGUCACCCAGGCUGGAGUGCAAUGAUGCGAUCUCGGCUCACCGCAACCUCCACCUCCAGGGUUCAAGCGAUUCUCCUGCCUCAGACUCCCGGGUAGCUGGGAUUACAGGCAUGUGCCACCACGCCCGGCUAAUUUUUUGUAUUUUUAGUAGAGACGGGGUUUCUCCAUGUUGGUCAGGCUGGUCUCAAACUCCCAACUUCAGGUGAUCUGCCCGCCUCGGCCUCCCAAAGUGCUGGGAUUACAGGCGUGAGCCACCGCGCCCAUCCUCUUCAGAUUUUUUAAUGCUGGCCUUGAAUUGGUUUUCCCGUUUUCUUCUCUCUGUUUUGAUUCCCUUCAUUCUUUAGUGUUUGGUCUCUGUGGAACAAGAGUUGUUCAUUCUGACUAUCCCAGACCUUGCAUCAGCCCUCCCAUGGCUUGAUGUUCCUGUU